rnacentral:rRNA from 1 species
UGCAAGUCGAACGGUAACACGUCUUCUGAUGCUGACUACUGCCGAACAGGGGUGUAAAACAUCUAAACGUGCCCCAUCGUGGGGGAUAUCGAGGCCAAAGCUUUGCUAAUACCGCAUAAAAUCUACGGAUGAAAGCAGGGGACCGCGAGGCCUUGCGCGAACGGAGCGGCCGAUGGCAGAUUAGGUAGUUGGUGGGAUAAAAGCUUACCAAGCCGACGAUCUGUAGCUGGUCUGAGAGGACGACCAGCCACACUGGGACUGAGACACCGCCCACACUCCUACUGGAGGCAGCAGUGGGGAAUUUUGGACAAUGGGCGCCAACCUGAUCCACCCAUGCCGCGUGCUGGAUGAAGGCCUUCUGGUUGUAAACUGCUUUUGUACACAACGAAAAGACUCUGGUUAUUACCUGGGGUCCAUGACGGUACCGUAACAAUCUAACCCGCUAACUACGUGCCACAGCCGCGGUAAUACGCGGGUGCGCUAGUUUUAUCAAUUACUGGGCGUAAAGCGUGCGCACGCGGUGAUGUGCACAGAUGUGAAAUCCUCGGGCUCUCCUGGGAACAGUAUUUGUGACUGCAUCUCUCGAGUACUGCAGAGAGGGAUGGAAUUCCGCGUGUAUCAAUGUAAUGCGUAGAUAUGCGGAGGAACACCUAUGGCGAAGGCGUCCCCUGGGGCCUGUCCUGACACUCAUGCGCUACAAGCGCGGGGAGAACCAGGAUGAUAUAUCUUGGUAUCCUCGCCCCCAACAACUUCACUGAU